rnacentral:rRNA from 1 species
CCUACGGGUGGCAGCAGUGAGGAAUAUUGGUCAAUGGUCGGGAGACUGAACCAGCCAAGCCGCGUGAGGGAGGAAGGUACAGAGUAUCGUAAACCUCUUUUGUCAGGGAACAAAGGCGGGGACGUGUCCCCGGAUGAGUGUACCUGAAGAAAAAGCAUCGGCUAACUCCGCGCCAGCAGCCGCGGUAAUACGGGGGAUGCGAGCUUUAUCGGGUUUUAUGGGGUUUAAAGGGUGCGCAGGCGGUUUGUUAGGUCAGCGGUCAAAGCCCGGGGCCAAACCCGGGCCCGCCGUUGAAACUGGCAGUCUCGAGUUGGAGAGAAGUAUGCGGAAUGCGAGGUGUAGCGGUGAAAUGCAUAGAUAUCGCGCAGAACUCCGAUUGCGAAGGCAGCAUGCCGGCUCCACACUGACGCUGAGGCACGAAAGCGUGGGUAUCGAACAGGAUUAGAUACCCGAGUAGUC